GCUGGGCAAGGAAAAAGAAAAUAAAAACAACCAUAUUUAGCAGUGCAGUCGAGUUGUGUGUUAAUGUCAGAGCUAUCUUCCGUGGAUAGCACGUCUCCAUACAAGAAACAUACCGCCUUGGUCAUGCAUAAGGUCCCAGCACACACUACCCAGUGCUCUUUUUGUGCCUGCAAAAGCACUUCGCCGUUGCUUGGGCUGUGUCUGAAUGAAAAGGUUCUUUGAAGUAGCUGUUUGUGAAACACUGCAUGCCUCCAGACACUCGGCUGAAACCUGUUGCACUUGAGGUGCUGAGGACAGAAUGCAGAAACCCUCUGGUUUCCCUUGCAGUCACUCCCAGACAGGUAAGAUGUGUGUGUGUAUUGGCUGUCUUUGAGCUUUCUCUUAAAGUUUGUCCUUACCAUGGAAAGUAAAUGGAAGCCAUUGAGUGGCUGCAUUAUUCUCCUUUUUUUUUUUUUUUUUUUUUUUUAAGAGCAGGGUUGGGGGUGGGGUGGUCCCGAGACAGGGUUUCUUUCUAGCCCUAGCAGACCAGGCUGGCCUCAAACUCAGAUCCACUUGUCUUUGCCUCUUAAAUGCUGGGAUUAAAGGUGUGCACCACCACCAUCCAACUACAACUUCUUCUUGUGUUCCCAUGGUGUUGACCCACAUCAUCUUGGCCCAGGACUGAAAUUUGGAACAUCAUUCAGGCAACCUCUGUAUGCGGCCAUUUUGUGUUUAUACAGGAUGAUGGGCUGCAAGCCGUCAUUACAAACCUCCACAUACAUCACAUCAAAUAUGCUGCUGGGGAAGGAGGACAUGGGUGGAUUUUGUGACUACAUGUUAACUCUCUAGAAGACAGGUUGGCUUAAAGACUAGUUAUGCAAGAAGUAAAAACCAGAUUGAGGGAUACCUGCUCAGUGCCCUCUGUGAAGGGAAAAUUUCUUGAGUGCCCAUAUCUUUAGGUAACUGCCUUCCAAAUGUAUUUUGCUUUUAUAUUAGAUAUUAGAAUAGCAGUAUGAAUUUCAGCUACCAUUCCUAUUGUACAGUUUAGCAGAUAUCUACUCUAGUUCAAUACAACUCGACUGUAGUAUUUCCCUGUGUUGACAGCUGAUAACUACUUUCAAGCAUCACAAAGAUGUCCUCUUGGGAAUCUCUUCUGCCACCAUAUGCAAUGGAGCCUACCAGUUCUCACUGCCUCGUUAACCUUACUUAGGGUGUUCUAAUGCCUGUAUGUAUAUUCUUUAAAACUGGCUGGCCUCAAAUUUAGAAAAAUGUCUGCCUCUACCUAUGUUCUUAUAUCUUCAUACAAGGUACAGGUAAUUCCCAUACCUGUUUAUAUACCAAAGGAGCCUGACAAAGUUAUUUUAAUUCCGUUCUGGUUAGCAGAGGUAAGGACUGUAGAGAAAAAAAAAGGUUGUUCGUUUUUUCUAAGUCUUCAUGACAGUUGUCUUUUGGAUUACAAAAAUGUUUAAAAGCUGAGAAUUGAGGCAGAGCUCUUAACUGAGGGCCAUAAAGUUUCUUGGCUCAUAUAUCCUGAGGAAUGACUGGGCCUAAAAUAUUCAAUUUUCCCCCUUUUUCUUGAAAGCCACUAUCUUUCCCUUUUACCAUCCCACCUUUAAAAAAUAAAAAUCCCAAGAUAAAAUCUAAUUAAUAAAACUUUCCAUUUACCCUCAGCCCCAACAUGUGACAGACCCUGGGGCAAAUGACCUAUUUCUCCAUGGAGCCUGUUUCCUCCUACAGUGUUAAUUUACUGUCUCAGUCUUGAAAUGUCACGGUUUGAACCAAUACAUGUAAAUGACUUUCAUGCCCUCAAAAUGCUUAAAGAGAAAGCCAGAGGUAAUCAUGUGCUUAUGUGCAUGCACUUUGGGCAUCAUUCUUUAGGCACCAUCUAUAAGCCUGGGCCCCUCACUGGCCUGAACUUACCAAACAGACAAGGCUCAUUAGCUGGCAAGCCCCAGGAUCCUCCAGUCUAACUCCUUGGUACUGGGAUUACAAACACACUCACCCAUGCAUGUUGGUUUUGUUUUUGUUUUUUACUUAUGUAUUUCUUUGCAUGUGUGUCUGCAUAUGUAUACCUGAUGCCCACAGAGGCCAGAAAAAGGCAUUCGAUUAUGUGGAACCAGUUACAGGCCAUUUUGAACCACCGUGAGGAUGCUGGGACUUCAAUUCCAGUCUUCUGGAAGAACAUCCAAUGCUCCUAACAGCUGAACCAUCUUCUCCACCUACUGGCUUAAUUCUUCUUUAUUAAUCAUUGAUUUGAGAUACAGUCUCAUGGGCUGUCAGAACUCAGAAAUCCAUCUGCGUCCGCCUCCCAGAGGCAGAUUAAAAAUAUGUGCCACCGUG
rnacentral:lncRNA from 1 species